AUGGGGCUAGCUGACCUCAUCAUCGCCAUGAAGAAGCGUCGCCAGCAAAUCCAGGCCGGCAGUAAUAAGCCGCCAAACCCCACACCAGGUAUACCGAUCCCUUCAGGGUCUAAAAGAGCAAGGUCAUCCUCUGAACAAGAUGACUAUUCUCAAGGCACCAAAACAAUGCGAUUUUCAGGGCCAGACCUUCCAGAGGAUAUCUGGUGUCAUAUACAUGCCCUACUACCACUGCCUGAUGCUGCCCGAGCUGCCUGUGUGUCUCGUGAAUUUUUACAUUCCUGGAGAUGCCGCCCCAAUCUCACGUUCAGUCAGGAAACACUGGGCGUGAACCUCACCUACUGUGAGAGAACACUGAGGACUGGAGAGGAGAAACUAGCUUUGAAGUUCACCAAAAUAGUUGACGAAAUUAUGAAAAAACACACAGGCAUUGGUGUGAAGACAUUCAAGCUUCAGUACUGUGGUUCUCGUAUCUACACCAGUCGCCUCAAAAGUUGGUUUAAGAUUGCUGUUAACCCAGGGCUUGAAGAGCUUGUACUUUCGCUGCCUGUAGUAGUAUACGAUCCAAAGUACUACAACUUCCCAUGCUCACUUUUGUUCAAUGGAAGUGGAAAAUCGAUUAGUUAUCUAAACCUCAAAGGUUGUGCCUUCCAUCCCGUGGCUGGACUUGGUUGCUUGAGAAAGCUGCAUCUGUCUCGGGUACACAUCACUGGUGAUGAGUUAUGGUGCCUUCUUUCCAAUUCUCUUGUUUUGAAGGAGUUGAAUCUUAGCCAAUGCAAUAAGAUCACCCGCCUGAAGAUACCGUGCCUGCUAAACCAGUUCAACCACCUGACAGUGUUUGGAUGCAAAACACUGGAACUGAUAGAGAACAAAGCUCCGAAUCUUUGCACAAUUCAUAUUGAUACUACUCUCCUACGACUUCUAUCUGGAGAUUCAUUGCAAGUGAAGAACCUAGAGAUGUUGUGGCCCUUGGAGUAUAACCUCGUUUAUUAUGCCCGUGCCGAGCUUCCACGGAUUAUGCCAAAUCUUGAAACUCUUAUCAUUUCUUCAGCUGGUGAGGUUCUUAAUACACCAAUCGUACGUGCCAAAUUCCUGCACCUCAAGCUAUUGGAGAUUUGUCUUUCUGUUGCAGAAGGGGCCUUUUCCCCAGCUUAUGAUUAUUUGUCUCUAGCUUUUUUCCUGGAUGCUUGUCCUGUGUUGGAAACUUUUGAAUUGUCUGUAUACCAGACUCGCAUGAAGCAUGAUUCUGUAUCUGGAGAUUACUCGCUUCUGAGAAAGAUGCCAGAACGCCACCACGUGAGUAUCAAGAACGUGAAGAUUGAUGGCUUUUGCUCUGCAAAGAGCAUGAUUGAGCUAACAUGCCAUAUUCUUGACAGUGCAACAUCACUCGAGAAUCUUACACUAGACACCAUAUAUGGUGCUGAUUAUGAGCAUGUUGAUAGGUUGGCUGUCCAUGAAAUUGGUGGUUGCAGCUCUCCUAUAGGAAAACGUAUGAUCAGAGAUGCCCACAAGGCAGUUUUGGCUAUCGAAAAAUACAUCGUGGGGAAGGUCCCCUCUAAUGUUCAGCUAAAUAUCAAGAAGCCAUGCAGUCAGUGUCAUUCUGUCAAAUGA
rnacentral:rRNA from 1 species